rnacentral:rRNA from 1 species
AAUAACAAUCAUAUCUACUCAUCUGAUCUCAAAAGCUAAGCAAGGUCGGGCCUGGUUAGUACCUGGAUGGGAGACCACCUAGGAAUAUGAGGUGCUGUAGGCA